rnacentral:rRNA from 1 species
UACGAGGGGGGCGAGCGUUGUUCGGAAUUAUUGGGCGUAAAGGGUGCGUAGGCGGUUUGGUAAGUCUCGUGUGAAAUCUACAGGCUCAACUUGUAGUCUGCACGAGAAACUGCCGGGCUUGAGUGUGGGAGAGGUGACUGGAAUUCCUGGUGUAGCGGUGAAAUGCGCAGAUAUCAGGAGGAACACCGGUGGCGAAGGCGGGUCUCUGGGCCAAUACUGACGCUGAGGAGCGAAAGCGUGGGGAGCGAACAGG